UACGUAGGGUGCGAGCGUUAAUCGGAAUUACUGGGCGUAAAGCGUGCGCAGGCGGUGAUGUAAGACCGAUGUGAAAUCCCCGGGCUUAACCUGGGAACUGCAUUGGUGACUGCAUCGCUCGAGUAUGGCAGAGGGGGGUAGAAUUCCACGUGUAGCAGUGAAAUGCGUAGAGAUGUGGAGGAAUACCGAUGGCGAAGGCAGCCCCCUGGGUCAAUGCUGACGCUCAUGCACGAAAGCGUGUGGAGCAAACAGG
rnacentral:rRNA from 1 species